UUGAUAAAUCGCCGAUCGAUAGAAUUUAACGUUGGACCCAAACAAAUCGGGAUUUAUGAAUGACUAGCUUGGUCUAUUUAUUAAUGUCUUUGCUUUCAUUGAAUCACGAGGGCGAAACCACAAUUGCUCAAUGGAGUCACAAUAUUGGGCCGUAAUUUGUCAUGGAUUAAAAACAUUUAUUCAUGAACAACAUGUUUUAUGCAGAGAUAACGAGACAGACUAUACUUAAUGCAAAUUAAUGACCAGCUGAAGCCCUGCACAUGGAAUUGAUUUCCUAUCUUAUAGAACUUAUCUAAAUCGGAUUACUUCCUGGCGACCAAGAGAAACAAAACGAGGAAUCGGAAGACCUCGUUAAUAUGGAAUGGCUCUGGAAUGGCUAGACGUCGUUAAAGAGGUAGGAGCACGAGCCUGAUAUCGCCUAGCCCAAAACAAAACAUCGUGGACAUAAUUAAAGGAGGGCUACGUUCAGAAGUGGACAACAAUGUGAUAAAAAGAACGAGAAAUAAAAAGCAAUAUACUUUGCACGUAAACGGUUUCGGUCGUGCGUUCCGACUAGAGGUCGAGUUGCAGCUAUCGCAAACGCAACUGCGAUUUUGGGAAAAUGGCUCGUUUUUAAGCGAAUGAGGAUGACAAUUUGGAAGUCCGAAAAUACCCCCAUCAAUGGGAAAAAAUUGUAGUGAACCCCUAUAACCCCUUAAAAGGAACGACGCCAAUUUGGAAUCAUCCUGUAUAUCGAAAGCUGGAACAUCCUACAAUCUCGACCGAGGAGUUGACCGAAGAGUUUCUACGAUGACGGUAUUAAAAGCUCACAAACUACUGGAAAAAAUGUAGCUCUAGGACAUGAGAUUAUGAAGAACAAUAUUAUGCUUUUGUAAAUAUUGUAAAAUAAAGAAAUUUUAACAGU